rnacentral:rRNA from 1 species
GGUGAACGCUGGCGGCGUGCUUAAGACAUGCAAGUCGAACGCAGUCUUCGGACUGAGUGGCGCACGGGUGAGUAACACGUAACUGACCUACCCCCAAGUCGCGGAUAACUGGCCGAAAGGUCAGCUAAUACGUGAUGUGAUGUCCCCUUUCUGGGGGGCCAUUAAAGGUUUACUGCUUGGGGAUGGGGUUGCGUUCCAUCAGCUAGUUGGCGGGGUAAAGGCCCACCAAGGCAACGACGGAUAGCCGGCCUGAGAGGGUGGCCGGCCACAGGGGCACUGAGACACGGGUCCCACUCCUACGGGAGGCAGCAGUUAGGAAUCUUCCACAAAGGGCGAAAGCCUGAUGGAGCGACGCCGCGUGAGGGAUGAAGGUUCUCGGAUCGUAAACCUCUGAAUCAGGGACGAAAGACGCGUAAGCGGGAUGACGGUACCUGAGUAAUAGCACCGGCUAACUCUGUGCCAGCCGCCGCUGUAAAAC